GAUGAUCUCAAUGUUCAUAAAGAACUUCAAAAAAUAUGGAGAGGGCACAAAAUGAAAUCAAUGAAAGGUUUUAUUACUGCACAUUGUAUUAGACAUUCACAAUGCAUAAGUAGUUGAGGACUGCAGAAGUCAUUAGUAAUUACAUUUAGGAUAUAUGAUACAGGCUCCCUGUAGCAUCACAAAGACAAUAACUGGUGCAAAUGUAGUCAAUCAAGAUGGUGCUUUCCUGCAAUGAGGUGAAUCAAAUCUCUAACUCUAAACUUUGAAUACAAAAAGAGAAGAGGAAAUAAAAUUAGAGAUAUUAUAGUAAUGGGAGGAACUAUCGUUUCACCUGAGAAAAAAUAAAUAAAUUGAGGAGUCCUAUUAAUCAGUGUUGAGAUAGAUUUUAUUCAAUACAAAAGUUAUAGUCACUUAAAUAUAACUCGACAUGUGAAUUGC
rnacentral:lncRNA from 1 species